GACCAGGAGGUGUGGGCCACGGUUCUAGCCCUGGUAUGGCUCUAUGGGUUCAAGAUGGAGGCUCAGGAGGAUGGGCAGUUUCUGGCCACGAAGGCAGUAUCAUGGAUCCAGGCUCAGAAAGCAGUCAGUGUGUCCGAGUGUGUUCAGGCUGGGAACACCCUUCUGGUUGCCAGGUGCAGAAAGACACAUGGGGCUCUGAGACGUUCACCCUGGCUGUCCCCCACACUCCUGCUACUCUACUCGGGGUCAGAUAUACACGCAAACCCACCUGCUCCUGGUCCCUCCUUAAAGCAACAUGGUGGAACUAGCUACUGUACCGGUCUGAACAAGCCCAAUUAUCAACCUCUUACCUAUAUUAGCCUACUGUCAUUUAAUGUAGGGGCACUUAUGUAUCGGUUGUUAUUAACAUAU